GAUGAAGAACGUAGCGAAAUGCGAUAAGUAAUGUGAAUUGCAGAAUUCAGUGAAUCAUCGAAUCUUUGAACGCACAUUGCGCCCCUUGGUAUUCCAUGGGGCAUGCCUGUUCGAGCGUCAUUUGUACCUUCAAGCUCUGCUUGGUGUUGGGUGUUUGUCUCGCCUCUGCGUGUAGACUCGCCUUAAAACAAUUGGCAGCCGGCGUAUUGAUUUCGGAGCGCAGUACAUCUCGCGCUUUGCACCCAUAACGACGACGUCCAAAAGUACAUUUUUACACUCUUGACCUCGGAUCAGGUAGGGAUACCCGCUGAACUUAAGCAUAUCAAUAAGCGGAGGA
rnacentral:misc_RNA from 1 species